UGGGAUGUAGCUCAGUUGGUACAGUGCUUGCCUAACAUGCACGAAGCCCUGGGUUCAAUCUCCAGCAUGGCAU
rnacentral:tRNA from 1 species